GAUGAACGCUGGCGGCGUGCCUAAUACAUGCAAGUCGCGCGAAGCGGGGACGGGUGAGUAACACGUGGAUAACCUCCUAUAAGACUGGGAUAACUUCGGGACAAUGAAGAUAAACCUGAUACGUAUAGAUGGAUCUGAUCUGCAUUAGCUAGUUGGUAAGGUAACGGCUUACCAAGGCAACGAUGCCUAGCCAACCUGUGAGGGUGAUCGGCCACACUGGAACUGGUACACUGUCCCGACGCCUACGGCAGGCAGCAGUAGGUAAUCUUCCGCAAUGGGCGAAAGCCUGACGGAGCAACGCCGCGGGAGUGAUGAAGGUCUUCGGAUCGUAAAACUCUGUUAUUAUGGAAGCGGUACCUAAUCAGAAAGCCACGGCUAACUACGUGCCAGCAGCCGCGGUAAUAC
rnacentral:rRNA from 1 species